rnacentral:rRNA from 1 species
GGUCUCCAAGGUGAAGAGUCUCUAGUCGAUAGAAUAAUGUAGGUAAGGGAAGUCGGCAAAUUAGAUCCGUAACUUCGGGAUAAGGAUUGGCUCUGAAGAUUGAGAUAGUCGGGCUUGAUUGGGAAACAAUAACAUGGUUUAUGUGCUCGUUCUGGGUAAAUAGAGUUUCUAGCAUUUAUGUUAGUUACUUGUUCCCCGGAUAGUUUAGUUACGUAGCCAAUUGUGGAACUUUCUUGCUAAAAUUUUUAAGAAUACUAUUUGGGUUAAACCAAUUAGUUCUUAUUAAUUAUAACGAUUAUCAAUUAACAAUCAAUUCAGAACUGGCACGGACUUGGGGAAUCCGACUGUCUAAUUAAAACAAAGCAUUGUGAUGGCCCUAGCGGGUGUUGACACAAUGUGAUUUCUGCCCAGUGCUCUGAAUGUCAAAGUGAAGAAAUUCAAGUAAGCGCGGGUCAACGGCGGGAGUAACUAUGACUCUCUUAAGGCUAUACUUAGGUAGCCAAAUGCCUCGUCAUCUAAUUAGUGACGCGCAUGAAUGGAUUAACGAGAUUCCUACUGUCCCUAUCUACUAUCUAGCGAAACCACAGCCAAGGGAACGGGCUUGGAAUAAUUAGCGGGGAAAGAAGACCCUUUUGAGCUUGACUCUAAUCUGGCAGUGUAAGGAGACAUAAGAGGUGUAGAAUAAGUGGGAGAUAUUAGACCUCGGUUUGGUAUCGUCAAUGAAAUACCACUACUCUUAUUGUUUCCUUACUUACUUGAUUAAAUGGAACGUGUAUCAUUUCCUAGCCAUUAUACGGAUAUAUUUAUUAUAUCUUAUGGUAUUGGGUUUUGAUGCAAGCUUCUUGAUCAAAGUAUCACGAGUUUGUUAUAUAAUCGCAAACAAAUUCUUUAAUAAAACGAUGCAUUUAUGUAUUUUUGAUUUGAAAAUUUGGUAUAACUCCAAUUACUCAGGUAUGAUCCAAUUCAAGGACAUUGCCAGGUAGGGAGUUUGACUGGGGCGGUACAUCUCUCAAAUAAUAACGGAGGUGUCCCAAGGCCAGCUCAGUGCGGACAGAAACCACACAUAGAGCAAAAGGGCAAAUGCUGACUUGAUCUCGGUGUUCAGUACACACAGGGACAGCAAAAGCUCGGCCUAUCGAUCCUUUUGGUUUAAAGAGUUUUUAACAAGAGGUGUCAGAAAAGUUACCAUAGGGAUAACUGGCUUGUGGCGGCCAAGCGUUCAUAGCGACGUCGCUUUUUGAUCCUUCGAUGUCGGCUCUUCCUAUCAUUGUGAAGCAAAAUUCACCAAGCGUUGGAUUGUUCACCCAUGCAAGGGAACGUGAGCUGGGUUUAGACCGUCGUGAGACAGGUUAGUUUUACCCUACUAAUGACAAAACGUUGUUGCGACAGCAUUCCUGCGUAGUACGAGAGGAACCGCAGGUACGGACCAAUGGCACAAUACUUGUUCGAGCGAACAGUGGUAUGACGCUACGUCCGUUGGAUUAUGCCUGAACGCCUCUAAGGUCGUAUCCGUGCUGGACUGCAAUGAUAAAUAAGGGGCAAUUUGCAUUGU